rnacentral:lncRNA from 1 species
CUCACCGCUGAAGCCGGGCGGGCAGCGGCAGCGCGGGGCCGCCCCGGGCGCUGCGGGGCGCAGGCAGCGGCCCCCGUGCACGCAGGCGGCCCCGGCGCAGGGCGAGCGGUGCCGGCACUGCCCCACGCCACGGCUGCGCAGGAACCCGUACGGCAGCUCCACUCGCUUCCCGUUGAUGGACACCUGCGGGCACGGGGCGGCGGGUCCCGGUGCCACCAGCCCCCCGCGGUGCCCCAGCACCCCUGUCCCCGUCCCGGCUCACCUGAGCCCAGCUCGUAGCGGAACUCGAGGUGGCCGCCGGCCAUGAACAAGGCCACGAAGUCCUCGACAGGGGCGGCUUUGCCGGCGCUGAAGAGCAGGAGCCCGUCGGGAGCCAGCGGCAGGAACUCGGCCUCCACCCGCAGCUCGUGGUGCACGUUGGUGAGGGGCGGGUAGGACACGAAGGCUCCGGCCUCGCCGAAGGACGGCACCGUCACCGCCUCGCCUGCGGCACCCCCGUCAGCACCCAGCGUGUGGGACCCGGCCCCAUCCACAGGGUGCCCGUGUCGCCUGGGUGGUCCCCAUCCUGUCCCUAUCUCCUUAGGGUGGUCCCCAAUCCCCCAUCCCCAUCACUCCCAUCUCCCUGGGAUGGCACCCAAUGGCCCAUCUCCAUCACAUCCAUGAAGCCCAUCUCUCCAGAUGGGACCUAUUCCCCUGGCCCCAUCAUGCCUGUGUCCCCAGGGUGAUGCCAGCCCCAUGUCCAUGUCCCAUGGUGCUCCCCAUCCAUGUCGCCACCUCCCUUGGGCGCUCCCCACCCUGUUCCCAUCUCUCUCGGGUAGUCCCCAUCCCAUGCCCGUCUCCCCAGGCUGCUCCCCACCCCAUGACCAUCUCCCUGGGGUGGUCCCCAUCCCAUCCCCUUGUCCCUACGGUGCUUCCCAGCCACAUCCCUAUGUCCCCAGGGUGGUUCCCAUCCUAUGCCCAUGUCCCCAGGAUGCUCCCCAGCCAUUUCUUUAUCUCCCUUGGGUGCUCCCCAGCCAUGUCCCCAUCUCCCUGGAGUGCUCCCCAUCCCAUGCCCAUCUCUUUUGGUUAGUUCCCACCCCAUGCCCAUGUCUCCAGGGUUCUCCCCACCUCAUGCCCAUGUCCCCAGGGCUGUCCCCACCCCAUGCCCACGUCCCCACGGUGGUGGCAGCCCCACGUCCACCUGCGCUCACCCUCGGUGCACCUCUCCCCGCUCUUGCCCAGGUGGCAGCGGCAGGUAUAGCCCGUCCCGUCGGGCCGGUUGACGCAGGUGGCAUCAGCCCCACACGCCUCUGUGGGGUGACACAGAGCUGUGAGCACCCACCCAGCACAGACAUCAGGGUGCUGUCCUGCGGGUCGGGGUGUCACCUACCUGGGUGACAAUGCGAUGCCUGCGAGUACUCGCAGUUGCUGCCGGUGAAGCCGUGGGGACAACGACAGACGUAGGUGCCGCUCUCGGCGUCCUGGCACAUGCCACCGUUCUGAGGGGGGGUGACAUCGGUGUCGGUGAUGGGUGGCCAUGGGUGGCCAUGGGUGGCAUCACCCCCUGACCAGCCUCACCUGGCACGGCUGGUCCUGGCAAGUGGGACAACUGGUGAUACCGUGCGCCUGCAGGUCCAUGUCCCCAAAGGCCACCUCCUCCCCUUGGAUGCGGAGCUGGCGCACACAGCCUGCGCGGGGAUGGAGAUUUGGGGUGUUUGGGGGGGUUACAUGAUGCUCAACCCCCCCCUCACAUCCUGGUACCCCCCAAAACCCUAUUACUCACCCAUAAAGCCGCGGCUGA